UUUAUAUGAGAGUUUGAUCCUGGCUCAGGAUGAACGCCGGCGGUGUGCCUAAUACAUGCAAGUCGUACGCACUGGCCCAACUGAUUGAUGGUGCUUGCACCUGAUUGACGAUGGAUCACCAGUGAGUGGCGGACGGGUGAGUAACACGUAGGUAACCUGCCCCGGAGCGGGGGAUAACAUUUGGAAACAGAUGCUAAUACCGCAUAACAACAAAAGCUGCAUGGCUUUUGUUUGAAAGAUGGCUUUGGCUAUCACUCUGGGAUGGACCUGCGGUGCAUUAGCUAGUUGGUAAGGUAACGGCUUACCAAGGCGAUGAUGCAUAGCCGAGUUGAGAGACUGAUCGGCCACAAUGGAACUGAGACACGGUCCAUACUCCUACGGGAGGCAGCAGUAGGGAAUCUUCCACAAUGGGCGCAAGCCUGAUGGAGCAACACCGCGUGAGUGAAGAAGGGUUUCGGCUCGUAAAGCUCUGUUGUUGGAGAAGAACGUGCGUGAGAGUAACUGUUCACGCAGUGACGGUAUCCAACCAGAAAGUCACGGCUAACUACGUGCCAGCAGCCG
rnacentral:rRNA from 2 species